rnacentral:rRNA from 1 species
AGGUGCCUACGGGAGGCAGCAGUGGGGGAUAUUGCACAAUGGGGGGAACCCUGAUGCAGCGACGCCGCGUGGGUGAAGAAGCGCCUCGGCGCGUAAAGCCCUGUCAGCAGGGAAGAAAAUGACGGUACCUGAAGAAGAAGCCCCGGCUAACUACGUGCCAGCAGCCGCGGUAAUACGUAGGGGGCAAGCGUUAUCCGGAUUUACUGGGGGUAAAGGGGGCGCAGACGGCGAUGCAAGCCAGGAGUGAAAGCCCGGGGCUCAACUCCGGUUCGGCAUUGGAUACUGGCAAACUAGAAUGUGG